rnacentral:rRNA from 1 species
CAGUAGCCGCGGUAAUACGUAGGGUGCGAGCGUUAAUCGGAAUUACUGGGCGUAAAGCGUGCGCAGGCGGUUGUGUAAGACAGGUGUGAAAUCCCCGGGCUUAACCUGGGAACUGCGCUUGUGACUGCACAGCUAGAGUAUGGCAGAGGGGGGUGGAAUUCCACGUGUAGCAGUGAAAUGCGUAGAGGUGUGGAGGAACACCGAUGGCGAAGGCAGCCCCCUGGGCCAAUACUGACGCUCAUGCACGAAAGCGUGGGGAGCAAACAGGAUUAGAUACCCGCGUAGUCCCUGUCUCUUAUAA